rnacentral:rRNA from 2 species
UACCAGCACCCCGAGUGGUCGGGACGAUUAUUGGGCCUAAAGCAUCCGUAGCCGGUUCUACAAGUCUUCCGUUAAAUCCACCUGCUCAACAGUUGGGCUGCGGAGGAUACUAUAGAGCUAGGAGGCGGGAGAGGCAAGCGGUACUUAGUGGGUAGGGGUAAAAUCCGUUGAUCCAUUGAAGACCACCAGUGGCGAAGGCGGCUUGCCAGAACGCACUCGACGGUGAGGGAUGAAAGCUGGGGGAGCAAACCGG